CUUGGAUGCUGUGAUUUUUAAUACUUGCACGUAUCUCAAGUUUAUCACAAAAAAAUCACAGAUUACUGCAAAUCCACUGAGGAAAAAAAACCAAGGAGGCAUCAGAAGCUAAUAUUGGUGACGAGAAGGAUAAAAGCAGAAACCCAGCAACAAAUACUUUGCCUGUUUGAGCGAGAGAUUUGAAACUUUCCCCAGCUUGGAAGAGGGUGCAGAGCAAUCAGAAAAUCUGCACAAGAAGAAAAUGAAGCCAGCACUUUCAUUGAGAAGUUUGGAGCAGGCCCUUCUUUGCACCUGCCAUCUCUGUGCAGACAGGUACUAAAAUUCACAUCUAACUGUGUCAGAAAUACUGCAUUCAGCUGUCACAGGCAUAGCUGCU
rnacentral:lncRNA from 1 species